CAUCAACUGACUCUCCUCUAGUGUACAUCAAUAUUUGAAAAUGGAAACAAUUAUGUAUUGCCUUGUGGGUUUAAUUCUUAUUGCAUCAGUUAAUCCUGCUGUCGGUAUACUGGGCCAACUGUACCAACUGCUGCAAC